rnacentral:lncRNA from 1 species
AAGGAAGGAAGGAAGGAAGGAAGGAAGGAAGGAAGGAAGGAAGGGCAAAAAGAAAUGUCUUUUUUUAACUUUCAAACCAAAUAUAUAGAGUGCUUUCUUAGCAUGCCUGUGGCCCCAGGUUUAAACCCUAGAACUGAAAAGAAAUCAAACUUCGAUUAUCAAACGUCUGGGAAAGUCCCAAUCCCUGCUUUUUCUUUCUUCCAUCUAGACUGGGUGUGAUAUACUUACAGGGCAGGUAUUCACUACAUCAAGAUGCCAGAAGAGAAAGAAAUUGUGCUAGUAAAGGCGGUUAUAUGUAAGAGGAGGAGACAGAAGUGUAGGCUUCUGGUUCGUUGGCCAUCAUAAGUCAUGGUCACCUUCCCAUAAUCACUCUGCUUCUUUUUACAUCAGAGUUUCAGAAGGCUGGUCCAGUGUUCUGGGGCUGAGCAGAUCCCUCAGUCAUUAAACUACUUCCCUAGCACGAGAGAAGUUCUGAGUUAAGUCCCCUAAACUCACACGAGAAAGCUGGGAGUCACAGAGCAUACUAGUAAGGCCAGCUCUGGGGAGAUAAAGAGGAAAAGGGGUCCCCAGGCCCAUUGGCAGCCUGGAAUAUCCUGUUUGAUGAGUUCUGCAACAAUGAGAGACCCUGCUUCAGAAAAUAAGAGAAGCACGGCACCUGGGCACCCAAGGUUGUCCUCUGGGCUCUGCAAAGUGCAAACAUACGCACACCCCCAGAAUAUGUGAGUAUGCAGUGUUUGCCCAUAACCCAGUGUGGAUUAGCCUCUCUGUGUGUCCAAUCCUUGGCAAAGAGCACGGACUGUCCUCCGUGGCCUGUACUCAGUACUUGAGUAAAGACUUAGCAACAUUUAGAGAAGAUUCCUUUGAACUGGAAAAGCCCAUCCCAACCACUUGCUUUCCUUUGUUUCUCUAAGUUACUUGUAGCCCCCAAAGACAAGGGCACAGCCUUUGCAGGGGACGCUUUUCUUCCUCCUUCUUCUGAACCCUUCACUAGUUUGCAUUGCAGCGUGGACAACCUGCCUGGCUAACCAAAACAACUAACAGAAAUACUAUCAAAGUGGCUUCUACCACUUCACGUACCAUGGACUUUUUUUUCGUUAAAAAUGAGAUCUUACUCUAAGCCACGGUGAAACUUUUUUUAAUGUUUAAAAAGAAAUGUCAGUGAGGGGUAUGGGAUGGUCAGGGCUUUCCAGUGUUGUUCUAAAUUAUUUUUACCCAUUGCUCCCUGUACCCCUGGCUCUAGCCAAAGCAGAAACAGUGAAAUGCCAUAAAAUAACCUACUCUCGAAGUAUAUUUGGCCUGACAGGAAACAGGAAAUACCAGAAAAGAUCACAAGGAAGGCUGUAAUCAUAAGAUUCCUAGCCUAAUUCUUUUGACGUCAGCAGUUUAGAUAAGUGAGAUAAGCAAUCACGAGCAUCCGAGGCUCCAGAGUGCCAACCCAAAUACGCCAAGUGCAUCUUCAGCCCCUUUGAACUGGGGUGUUGUUUGGCCUCUGCUCUCCUCUCUCCCCAAGAAGCAGAUCCUGAAAUUUUGAAUUCUGGAGCUAGUGUCAACAUUAAGAUAGUCAAAGACAUUACCCAGAGCUGCUAAAUUGGCCCUAUGGCAAAUUUGUCUUGCUUGGUGUAUUAGAAGCCUUGGAUACAACUAACUGUUUAUAAGAGGUAAGAAAAGUCUGGCUCAUCUCAAAGAGAGUUUGCUUCCUAAAGUUCAGCUUUCCCAAUCUUCAGAACAAAUCUGUGGCUAUGUAGUAUGCCCCUGUUAAAAUGCUAAAAAGAUAUAUUACCAGACCCAAGCCAUUUCAUAACAUCUUUAUUAUAUUCACCUUUCUUUGGCCUCCUUAACUCCUUAGCACAACAAAUUAGUGGGCUGAUUAAAUAUAAAUUAGACUGGCACUCUCCCCUCUGUGAGUUCUUUUAACUUCAGAACCAGAAAUGUGGAAGUCAACCGUUCUAUAAUCUGCAGAAGGGAGAAAUCUCAUGCAUAGGUUACUCAAGUGAUAAGGUAAGAGUUUAAAUCAAGAGUUAAUAGUGGGCUGGGAAUGUUGCUUUAUGGAAAAACAUUUUCCUAGUAUAUGUAACACUCUGCAUUUAAUAUCUAACACUAAAAAUAAAAUAAUACCCCAUGCAAUUUUUAAACAAAAAAGGUUGAGAAUAAGAACUUAUUCACACUAUAUCCACCUACUUCUAAAAACAGUUCUAAGCUUAUAAAAGCUUAUGCAAAGUCAUAAAGUCAUUGUGUCAUGGUGUAACAAAAGCCCUACAUAAAGUAGACGAGAAAGUAAACAAUUAGGAGAACAAAUUAAGGAAAGCUGACAUCUGAACUUCUUAGCAGGCAGGGCAAAAGAGAGACAGAAAAGAUGACAAAAUCCAUUAUCUUCAGGAGGAAAAACAUUUUUCCUGGCUUUGAGUGUGUGGGACAAUGUUUGAUGAGGGAUCUUUGUGUCGUAACAGAGGAUGCCCUUCUAAAGAAUAUAAGCAGCAAUUUAGGUGUGCCACUUGCAACUUGAGAAGAGUUUUAUGAACCAUCGCAGUGGAAGGUGUUUCCAAGGAGACCACUCAGUGUGGAUGCUGAGGGAAAGGUGGCCUCUCUUUGGGCUGCUGUGACCCAGAGAUCAAGCCCAUGCACAUGAUUUGGAAGAGACCAAGACAAAAGGUUUGUAACCUUGUGCACCUGUCAGGUCAGAGCACUGUCCCUCAGAAUGUCCAACUCAGGAAGUUCUGUGAAUCCCAUCCUGGGCAUACCUGACAUUAUAAUGUGGCAGACACUCACCUGUUAAGUAUACAGUGUUGCUAAGUUGUUCUAAGCAAUUCGCAGAUCCGUCUUGAGUCUUUGCCUUGAAUCCUGCGGGACACACUCCUUUUAUCUUGCAUACAAGCACAGAGCCCUUCACUUGACUGAUAUCCCUUCAGCACAGGUAGAGAUACUCAAAACUGAAUGGUGGAUUUAAAGUUCAAAGUCAACAUAAUACAUCUAAAUGCAAUUUGUGUUUUACUUGGACCCAUUUCCCAACCUUUGCUUAAUAUUCUGUUCAACUUACC